CGGAAUGAAGCAGAACCGAGGGGCCUUAGUUUUGUGACGUUGAC
rnacentral:SRP_RNA from 1 species